rnacentral:rRNA from 1 species
UACGUAGGGCGCAAGCGUUGUCCGGAAUUAUUGGGCGUAAAGAGCUCGUAGGCGGCCAGUUGCGUCCGCUGUGAAAUCCCGGGGCUUAACCCCGGGCGUGCAGUGGAUACGGGCUGGCUAGAGGCAGGCAGGGGAGAACGGAAUUCCCGGUGUAGCGGUGAAAUGCGCAGAUAUCGGGAGGAACACCGGUGGCGAAGGCGGGUCUCUGGACCGUAACUGACGCUGAGACACGAAAGCGUGGGUAGCAAACAGG